CUUUGAAACUUAUAUUCCAUAAUGUGUAAUUUAUUAUGUUUCAUCUUUCAAUAAUACAAUAUUAUAAACAUAUGUUAUACAUAGUUAAUUAUUGAUAAAUCGUCUCAUAUCAUAUACUUAAAAAAAAAUAUAAUCAUAAUCAAAAUCAAAAUGACACUUUAACAAAAUUACAUAUAUGCAAAAACUUUGAGAGUUAAUGAUGCAUGACUAAUGGAGAUUUUUCUAAAUAAUCUUCAAAAAAAUGCUAAUUCAACUGUCUGCUUAAUAUCAUUGACAGCUACCAAUAGGGGUUUCACUGUAAGACCUUAUACCAUAAGCUUUAACAAUUAUGUUGACAUAUUUGUAGAAUUUUAUUUGCAGAUUAUUUUUUUUAUAGGAAACAUAAAAUUGAGAAUGGAAAUGGGGAAUGUGCCAAAGAGACAACAACCCGACCAUAGAAAAAAACAACAGCAGAAGGUCACCAACAGGUCUUCAAUGUAGCGAGAAAUUCCCGCACCCGGAGGCGUCCUUCAACUGGCCCCUAAACAAAUAUAUACUAGUUCAGUGAUAAUGAACGCCAUACUAAUUUCCAAAUUGUACACAAGAAACUAAAAUUAAAAUAAUACAAGACUAACAAAGGCCAGAGGCUCCUGACUUGGGACAGGCGCAAAAAUGCGGCAAAAGUUUGUCUUUAUCUAUUAUACUUCCAAGAAAAUUGCAAAGAACACAAAAAAUGUCAUAAAAGUGCAAUAAUUACCCCAAAAGAAGGUGAUAGACAACCUGGUUAUGUUACCUAUUUUUGCUGGUCAUUUUUGUUGUUUCCUUUUCACUCCAUGUAUUCUAGAUUUUAAGAUAAUUGCCAAAAAUGGAAGAAAAAAAACCACUAUCUAAAGCCAAUAAUAAUCAUAUAUUAAAGUAGUUGAUUCUAUCUAUUAAACUUUCAAGAAAAUAAAACGAUAAUAAAGACAAAAACACCCAUCAAUUACAUCAUGGUAAGAGUUUAGUCUGGGCAACAUGCUUUCUGUCAGGUUGAUUCUCAAUAUGAUUCUGCUUAGAAAAAGUUGAAAUUGGUCUAGUAGUUUGAAAGAAAAUGACUUUAUAGUGGACUUGAGAUUUUCUUGAUAACCUUGGUACAAUAAACAUUUACAUAAUUAGUAAAAUGAAAAUAUUAUAGAGCUAUAGGUAGUUUGAAUACAAAAUAUGAUCAUAGAACAAUGCAUCCAUGUAUUAGAUAAGAUAUUAGGUAAAAGAUGUUGAAAGAGUAGCUAGUUAACUUUACCAGGCUGUUUUAUAGUUUAAAAGCCAAAUUAGAGGCUCUAAAGAGUUUGUUUUGCUCAAAAGAUAGAGCAUAUAAAUCAUGAUCAAUAUAUCUUUUAUGAUGAUCUAGUAUUGCUUGAGGCUUUUUUGAGGCUAACAAUUUCUCUCUAAAUACUUUUUUUUUUAUAUUUUAUAAAAAAAGGAGGUAAAACUGAGGGUAAAAAACAACAUGCAAGGGCAACAACUUCUUCAGGAGUCUUUUUAUGGUUUGGUCAUAUUGGCAUUUUAACCAUUUUGGAAUAUCUUCUACAUGUAUUGCUCAUCUUUUACACUGUUUACAAUUUCUAUUUAUGAAUAAUACUUUUACCAGAUAAAUUGCAAAAAACAUUUAAGGCCAGGUGAGCUAAAAAUUGAGAAAGGUUUUAUAAAUUAAUAUAAGAAAUUACAGAAACAAUUGAAUAUAAUCACAUAAAAUUAGUUGAUAAUUAAGGAAAACUGAAAGUAUGCUAGCAAAAAGAUAAAUAAGAAAUAUUAAAAUCAAUCCCCAAUAAAAAUAAUAUGGCAACAGGAAGAACCAUCUAAAUAAACAAAAUAAUCAAAGCUACAAUAUAACAUAGAGAUACUGUGAUACCCAGUACCCUUAAAACUAAUUUAACAAACAGUGUAUUUGAAGAAAUUCAAAAUAAAGAUAUGGGGAAUAUAUCAGCAACAGAAAAAACCUUAACCAUAUUAGACACCUAAUGGGCAACAUACUGUCUUGAACAAUAGACAAGUGUCUUUACAAUAUGUCAGCUGUAGAUCAUCUAAAGUCCAUAAAACUAAAGAGUAUAGAAUGGUAAAAUUAUGGAAAUAAUUCCUCAUGAACUUACUGUUUCAAACAAAUAAAAGAUUUACUUAUAGCAAGACUUUUGUUAAAUAUGUUCUUCAGUUGUGUGUAAUUAAAAAGUAAAAUUCUUAAUCAUCAAAAUAUUUCUGAAUCUUUCUUUUUUGGUCCUGUUUAAUGUGUCACUUUAACAAGUGAGGCUGAUUCCAUUAGUAGUUAAACUCUUUUAGGACACCUGAACAAAUUAAAUGAUGUGGCAUUGUAUAAGAGCUACAUUGAAACCUAAUUUCUUUACAGAAAUCACAGGUAGCAAACUAUCACAAAAAUGUAUUUCAAAUAUUUUAUAAAAAUCUAAACAAUUACAAAGGUUUGACCUACAUCAGUAAACAAUAAUGUUUAGAAAAACAUUUGCACAAUAUAAACCAGCCUAUUAAAUGCCAUUAGGCCACGGUUUUUUCAUUUGUUGGUUUACGGAUUUUCCCCAUGAAAAAGUCGGGUCGGUCGGUCGGGAAAAAAAAAAGAAAAAAAAAAUCAUCUUUGAAGACAGAAAAAUAUGCAAAAUCAAUAUAUAUUUCACCUUUCUAACAAUAUGUUUGUUAUGCCAUUUUAUCAUCAUUUCUUAAAUUUUAGUUCAAUGAAAUAUUAUUGCUCAGCUGUUAUAAACAUCGCAUGACAUUGUCUAAUAAGUUACAGUAAAAAAAAAAAGGGGGUGCACGGACAAAGAUGAAAUUAAAUCGUCAUUUCAGAAACAAGAAAAAUAGAUUCGCGUAGCUCUUAAUCAAUUCCAGAAAACUUGGUGAAUAAUGAUCUUCAAGCACGAAAACUGAUAAAGAAAAAAAAAUGUAAAAACGUCGUACGAAAAUAAGUUUCAACACACGUGUCAAAAACCUAAUAGACUCGUCCAUUGGAAAAACGAGAUUAUCGGGUCAAUCUCUUGUCUUGCAUUCCCGUUUUUUAUCCAAAUGGACGAUAAUUUUUUUUAUUAUCUAUGAAACAAGAAAAUUCCAAAUGAUUUGUUAAUAUUCAAUACUUCAACUUGAUGCCUUCAACCUAUCCACAUUUGGACAAGUCUAUUUCUAUGAGAUGAUGCAUCUUACGGACUGAUGACAAAUAAGGGAAACGAACUUAUUGUGUAAUUGGUUUUAAACACAAGUUUCGUUCCGCAAAAUUAUUUGUGCAAACGACAUUUCAAGGUCAGUUAUUAUGAUAAUUGAUUUGUCUAUAUUUAAAAACGUAAACUGGAAGUUUUAUUUUUUCACAACAGCAAGUGUUAUCAAUUUUGUUAGUGAUUAAUGCAUUUCAUUUCAUAAAAAAAAAUUAUUUUAAUUAUUUUUCAGGGAUAAUGCAUUUCUUAGGGUCGGCGGGAAUAAAAAAGCAUGAAAAGUCAAUUUUAUUUUUAUUCUGGAAAUCGGCAAAAUCGGGUCGGCGGAUCCGUAAACCAACAAAUUAAAAAAUCCUGGCCUUACUGCCUUUCAAUUGUAGACAUUAAAAACUAGAGGCUCUAAAGAGCCUGUGUCGCUCACCUUGGUCUUUAUGAAUAUUAAACAAAGGAAGAGGAUGGAUUCAUGACAAAAUUGUGUUUUGGUGAUGGUGAUGUGUUUGUACAUCUUACUUUACUGAUCAUUCUUGCUGCUGAAAAUUAUCUCUAUCUAUAAUGAACUUGGCCCAAUAGUUUCAGUGAAAAAUGUUAGAAAAAAUUUACAAAUUUUAUGAAAAUUGUUAAAAUUUGACUAUAAAGGACAAUAACUCCAUAGGGGGUCAAUUGACCAUUUCAGUCACGUUGACUUAUUUGUAAAUCUUACUUUGCUGAACAUUAUUGCUGUUUACAGUUUAUCUCUAUCUAUAAUAGUAUUCAAGAU
rnacentral:lncRNA from 1 species